rnacentral:rRNA from 1 species
AUGGCGGGGCGCUCGCCGUCGCCGAGCCAAGCCGGAGCAACGCCCAACCGCCUAAAGCGCAAGGCCCCUGCAUCUUCCGCCGUCGCCUCCUCCUCCACCUCCUUAGGGGCGGACCAGGCGGCGGACGAGGAGGACAUUGAGGAGCUGGAGAGGGAGGUUGCCGAUCUGGGCCGCCGGAUACUCGAGCACCGCCGUGACGCCGCCGCCCGCUUCAUAGACGCUACAGUAUCGCGCCUCGACGCCCUUCGCCCGCCCGCCUGCGUAGAAGUUCCAGUUGAAGCGCAAUCUGCAGCUGGAGCCUCGCACGCCGAAGCUGAACAAGCUACGCUUGAAAAGCUAAAUAUGUUCAAGUCCAAGACCGAGGCAAAUAUCGCGGCCAUGCCCAAUCUACUGGAGAAAAUGAAGCAAUGUGUUGCUCGCAUGGAGAAGGUGGAGCAACUGAAUGUGAAUAUACAUCCUGUGUUUCAAAGAAAACGGUAG